GCGCGAAAACUUUACAAUGCGGGAAACCGUGAUAAGGGAAUCUCGAGUGCCAGCAUAUAAUGUUGGCUGUCCAGAUGCCUAAAAAGCAUCUGUUAGCAAGGGCCGGGCAAGACCGGUGCCAGCCGCCGCGGUAACACCGGCGGCCCGAGUGGUAACCGCUUUUAUUGGGUCUAAAGGGUCUGUAGCCGGCCAAGUAAGCCCCUUGGGAAAUCUGGCAGCUUAACUGUCAGGCUGCUAGGGGAUACUGCUAGGCUUGGGACCGGGAGAGGUGAGAGGUACCUUGGGGUAGGGUGAAAUCUUGUGAUCCUCGGGGGACCACCAGUGGCGAAGGCGUCUCACCGAGAACGGGGUCCGACGGUAAGGGACGAAAGCUAGGGGCACGAACCGGAUUAGAGACCCGUG
rnacentral:rRNA from 1 species